rnacentral:snoRNA from 1 species
GCAAUGAAGACAAUUUUGGUUUUGAUCAGCAGUGAGAAAAACACCAAUACCUCUAAGAAGUUCUGAGCUC